AACAAGAUCACUGACCUCAGAACCUGACAUCACAGGCAAUGAGCUGAAAGGAGGAGCUGACUCCUGCUCUCACCAGGGAGAGCAGCAUGCUGAGGAGAAGGAUGUGGGGCACUGCCCUCCCUGGCUCUGCCUGGGGCCCCAGCCUGCUCUGCUGUGUCACUGUCUUUCUCCUGGGAACAAGUUCAGCAAGUCCCAGGGUCAUCCAGUCUCCAAGACACAUAAUCAAAAUAAAGGGAGGAAGGUCCAAUCUCAAAUGUAUUCCCAUCUCUGGACAUGACACUGUGGGCUGGUACCAGCAGACUCUGGGACAGGAACUGAAGUUCCUCAUUCAGCAUUUUGAAAAAACAGAGAGAGCAAAAGGAAACAUCCCCAACCGAUUCUCAGUCCAGCAGUUCCGUGACUAUCACUCUGAGAUGAACAUGAGCGCCUUACAGCUGGAGGACUCUGCUGUGUACUUCUGUGCCAGCUCACCACAGCCUCACAGAGUGACAGGCUUUCUGUCCCUUAAUCUUCCUACUUUUGUUGGUGAUGUACUAAAGAAGGUGGGGAAAUACUACACAGCUGCCUUAGCCAAGGUAUAAAAAUGGAUUAAUUCUGUACUCAUCCCCUCUGUCCAGGUGAGCUCACAACAGAAUCCUAAACACAGGGAUGGGCUCCAAGACUCUAAAUGUUCUCACAUAUCUUCCCGGAACUUUCCAGCUCCUAGUCAGUGGUUGGAACCUUACUCUGUGUUAGGUACUUGAGUGUUGGCAUAAGCUAGAGUUUCAUCACAAAGGGAUACAUUAGUGAUCCAUUUGCUGAUGAACAGUUCUAUGUGAUAACAUAAAUUUAUCCAACAUUCUUGUUUAAGAAUAUCAGUUCUAGGAUUGAAACCUACAUCUCUUUGCCUUUGAAAUCAUUGUAUGACUUUCCAUGGAUUCUCUGUGUUGGUCAAAAAUCUUGCAUUGCUCUCUUGUGUUUUAAGAACAGGUGAACUUCUUGUGUUUAUGUUCAGAGUGCUGAUAGGUUAUGAUGUAUAAUAUUAAGCCAGAUCAUGUAUUCUUCUUACAGUUUCAAGAUGUAACUUUCAUUAUCAACAAAAGAAAAUUUGUUACUUAAUCAGGCAACCAAUUUGAAAAAAAUAUAAAGAGAUAUUUAUGGCAGAGGUUUCUCUGUCCAAUGAAAUCAGCGUAUUGUUCAGAACAUUAACACUACUGGGAGAUCAGACCUUAGUUUGGAAAUAAACGCUAUGAGCCUAAGAGCUAUGAAUUUUCAUAUUCCCCACUCCAAAAAUCCAUGUCUUAAAUAGAA